UCCUUGUGGCUCAGACGGUAAGGAGUCUGCCUGCAGUGCAGGAGACCCAGGUUCAAUCCCUGGAUCAGGAG
rnacentral:tRNA from 1 species